CGUCAUUGCCACGUCAUUACUGUCAGUCAGACAGAAAUAAAAGAAAAAUGGAUGCCGUUCAGACGUACACGCAUUAUUUGGAACUGAAAAUUACGUAAUUUAUCGACCUGCUGGCUUGUAUUUGUUAUAAAUCAUAAAAAAAUUAUGGAAAACAUCAUGAACAAUAAUGAAACAAACCGAACCUUUAGCUACAAUAAUAAAAUGACCCCAUGACGCCAGUGGAACUACGUGGUUUUCUUUCAUGAUGAUUUGAUGAUACCAUAAUGGAAUUAGCCAAGUUUUCGCCGUAUUGGGUGCUAGAUGCCCCUUGGAGUUAAGCCCCAGUGCCACUAUACUACCUUACCAGUUAUGUGUGGGUGUUGUAGUCCUAAGACACCCCAGAGAUGCAUAGGGCCUUCACAAGCUCACGCCACGCCUUCCUAUCUUCAGCAACCCUUGUGACCUUGCUCCACCAACUCAAACCUGGGAACUCGCAGCUCAUUUUCGACGGACCGCUUCCAUGAGUAGACAAGGCACCGACGAUCACGGCUUGCAUC